AGAGAGAGACAUGCGCGCAUAUCAAUAAGCGGAGGAAAAGAAACUAACAAGGAUUCCCUUAGUAACGGCGAGUGAAGCGGGAAGAGCUCAAAUUUGAAAUCUUCAAGGUUUUACCUUGACGAAUUGUAGUUUAAAGAAGUGUUUUCUGCUGAAGUUUUGGUAAAAGUUCUUUGGAAUAGGACAUCAUAGAGGGUGAGAAUCCCGUAUUUGACCAUUAUUUUCAGCUUUGUGAUACACUUUCAAAGAGUCGGAUUGUUUGGGAAUGCAGUCCAAAAUGGGUGGUAAAUUUCAUCUAAAGCUAAAUAUUGGCGAGAGACCGAUAGCGAACGAGUACCGUGAGGGAAAGAUGAAAAGGAACUUUGAAAAGAGAGUUAAACAGUACGUGAAAUUGUCAAAAGGGAAGCGUUUGACACCAGUGUUGUUUUCUCGAAAAUCAAUUAAAAAUGGCUCGAUUUUGUAUUGCUUGAGACCUUAAAAGCUCACUGUACAUUUUUCGUGUCUUUUUUAAUGCACUUUUCGUUUAACAAGUCAACAUCAGUUUCUUUUGUUGUAAAAGGGUCAUUGGAAGGUGGCUUUCUUUUCGGAGAAAGUGUUUAUAGCCUUUGGCCUCUGCAAUCGGAGAGACUGAGGUCUGCAGCGUAGACUCUUCGGGGUUAGAUACAUUUGUGCUAAGUUAUAGCUUUUUAUAGACAACUUGUUGACUAUAAUUAGUCUUGUAGCUUACUCGCUUAUGCUAUUUUACCUACUGCUUAGGAUGUUGAAGAUGUAGCACAUCAU
rnacentral:rRNA from 1 species